rnacentral:rRNA from 1 species
AUACGUAGGGGGCGAGCGUUGUCCGGAAUGAUUGGGCGUAAAGGGCGCGUAGGCGGCCCGGUAAGUCUGGAGUGAAAGUCCUGUUUUUAAGAUGGGAAUUGCUUUGGAUACUGUCGGGCUAGAGUGCAGAAGAGGUAAGCGGAAUUCCCAGUGUAGCGGUGAAAUGCGUAGAGAUUGGGAAGAACACCAGUGGCGAAGGCGGCUUACUGGGCUGUAACUGACGCUGAGGCGCGAAAGCGUGGGGAGCGAACAGGAUUAGAUACCCUGGUAGUCCACGCUGUAAACGAUGAAUGCUAGGUGUAGGGGGUAUCGACCCCUCCUGUGCCGGAGUAAACGCAAUAAGCAUUCCGCCUGGGGAGUACGGCCGCAAGGUUGAAACUCAAAGGAAUUGACGGGG